GAUGAACGCUGACAGAAUGCUUAACACAUGCAAGUCAACUUGAACUUCGGCUUGGGUGGCGGACGGGUGAGUAACGCGUAUAGAACAUGCCUCACAGAUAGGGACAACAUUUGGAAACGAAUGCUAAUAACUGAUAUUAUGAUUAUAUGGCAUCGUAUAAUUAUGAAAGCUAUAUGCGCUGUGAGAGAGCUUUGCGUCACAUUAGCUAGUUGGAGAGGUAUCGGCUCACCAGGGCGAUGAUGGGUAGCUGGCCUGAGAGGGUGAUCGGCCACAGGGGGACAGAGACACGGCCCCUACUCAUGCGAGGGAGAGGAGGGGAAAAUAGCAGAAAAGGUGCCAAGAGGAUGAUCCAGCAAUUCUGUGGGGACGAUGAAGUUUUUCGGGAAGUAAAGUUCUUUCAGUUAGGAAGAAAAGUAUGACGGUACCAACAGAAGAAGCGACGGCUAAAUACGUG
rnacentral:rRNA from 1 species